GCAGUCCGAAGAGGCGCGGGAAACCCCGCGGGGCUCGCAACGCUCCGUCCCCGUGCCGCUUUGACAAACCCAACCCUUGAAGACCGCACCUCUUGAUUGCCUCGGCGGGCCUGCCCGUCGGGGGACGCACUUCAAACCACGGGUGGAACGGCGUAGUCUGAGCGAUUGCGAUAACAAGUCA
rnacentral:misc_RNA from 1 species